AUUGAUUGCCUGGGGCUCCGCCCACAUCCGGGAAUUUAUCGUUUUGUUUCCUCAUUGUAAAAGAAAACAAGCAGCUGGAGCCAUCAUUUCGUUGGUUUCUUCAGAAAAAAUCCGGGUUUCAUGUUGCACAAGGCCAGGAGGACAGAGACCUUGCCGAGGACCUUCUCAUCCAGGGCCAAGCGGCACCGGCGACACAAAAGCUAGCGGCGAGUCAUUGUGCUCUGUAAUUUGGGUGCAGUGACCACGACAUCGGACCUGUAGAAGCAUGGCGUUCCACAUACACAGCCUGAGACUGCUGUUAUUGCGCCCACAAGAAAACAAAUUUGUGGAGAGGCGGAGCCAACGGUCCAUGGCAAGAUGGUGGCAAGGAGGCGGAGGAUGCGGCAGAGCAGAGAGGCGGGGCUUGCUGGGAGCGACGCCGCCACAAUCUAAAUCGGGUGCGUGGCACACACACCGGUACACGAUUAAUUCAUCUCCUUCUGCUGUAUAAAAGGGGAGAAGGAGGAGAGUUCGAGGAAGGAGUUGGAGAGCCCGCAGGAGCAGAUGAAGAGCGAUCAAAGAGCGACAGAGAGCAAGCCAGAGAGGACGACGACGACGACGGCUUCGGCUGAAAGAGCGGACCGUGAGCAAUCAGUGGAAAGGAGCAGCUGCAAAGCGAUCCGACCUACACAAAAGACAAGUGUCAAACCUGCUCAAAAGCAUGUCCUUCCUGGGUGGUCCACUGAACCCGAGCGACGACAGCAAGCAACUGUCACACCAUCAUAGCACAACAUAUGCUUUUUGCUUUAUUGAAACUGCUUUGUGAAACAGUACUUUGGUACUACACAAAGGCGAGCAACUUAAACCAAUGUGUCAAACAAAUCGAAAGGAACUAGUCAAGGACCGUCCCAAUGUUUAAGACAGAUGACACAUUA